UGUAGAUUGCCCCUUGAUCCUUCACUUUGAAUUCUCUAGCAGUUGAACAGGCAAUUAAGCACAUAAAAAUAACACCCUUCAACAAAAUUCUUCCCUCCAUAACCUAUACGGAGAAAAAUUCAGGGAGUAAAAUUAGAGCGGAGAAAGAACGAGGAAGAAGGGUCAACAAGGACAAUUAUUUAGACCCAGUAGGCGAUAGGUGCUUUUCGUGCGCUCCUGG
rnacentral:misc_RNA from 1 species